rnacentral:rRNA from 1 species
GACGAACGCUGGCGGCGUGCCUAAUACAUGCAAGUAGAACGCACAGUUUAUACCGUAGCUUGCUACACCAUAGACUGUGAGUUGCGAACGGGUGAGUAACGCGUAGGUAACCUGCCUGGUAGCGGGGGAUAACUAUUGGAAACGAUAGCUAAUACCGCAUAAUAUUGAUUAUUGCAUGAUAAUUGAUUGAAAGAUGCUAUUGCAUCACUACCAGAUGGACCUGCGUUGUAUUAGCUAGUAGGUGAGGUAACGGCUCACCUAGGCGACGAUACAUAGCCGACCUGAGAGGGUGAUCGGCCACACUGGGACUGAGACACGGCCCAGACUCCUACGGGAGGCAGCAGUAGGGAAUCUUCGGCAAUGGACGAAAGUCUGACCGAGCAACGCCGCGUGAGUGAAGAAGGUUUUCGGAUCUUAAAGCUCUGUUGUAAGAGAAGAACGGGUGUGAGAGUGGAAAGUUCACACUGUGACGGUAUCUUACCAGAAAGGGACGGCUAACUACGCG